rnacentral:rRNA from 1 species
GACAGAGGCCUCAAGCGUUUAGGCGGAAUCACUGGGCUUAAAGCGUGUGUAGGCGGGUCGUUAAGUACCUUGUGAAAUCCCACGGCUCACCCGUGGAACUGCUGGGUAUACUGGCGAUCUUGGGCCAUUCAGGGGCAACUGGAACAAGCGGUGGAGCGGUGAAAUGCGUAGAUAUCGAGAGGAACACCUGCGGCGAAGGCGGGUUGCUGGGCUGACACUGACGCUGAAGUGCGAAAGCUAGGGGAGCGAACGGG